rnacentral:lncRNA from 10 species
GGGGCAGUUACCCCCAUGCUGCUGUGCUGGCGAUAAUGAGUGAGUUCUCAUGAGAGCUGAUGGUUUUAUAAAGAGCUUUUCCCCCUUUGCUCAGCAGUUCUCUCUCCUGCCGCCAUGUGAAGAACGUGUUUGCUUCCCCUUCUGCCAUGAUUUUAAGUUUCCUGAGGCCUCCCCAGCCAUGAGGAACUGACUACAGGAGGAGCUGGAUUUCACCCUACCGGGACCCACUCUACUGCUUUCUGACCACUGAGUUAAAAACCCACAGUUGCCUGGAUGGAGUGCAAUGGC